rnacentral:rRNA from 1 species
UAUGUUUGAAAUUUUUAUAUAAUUAUAGGUUAAAUUUUAAUUAUUUAAAAUGUAUAGUUAUAAUUUUAAAUUUUGUUAAUCGAAUUAGAUUAGUACCUAAUUAGUCAAAAGUUAAAAAAGCAGAAGUAAAGUAAAAUUUAAACUGAAAGAAUAUUGGCAGAUUUUCUAAAUUAUCUUUGGAGGUUGAGUAAUAAUUGAGAACCCUCAUUAACUACUUUUUUAGUUGUCUCAUGUAUGAUCGUUUAUUAUAUGCUUAAGGGAUAUAAUUAAAAAUUUUUAUUUAAAAAAAUAGAUAUAUAUUUGGUUUAUAUAAAAGUAAUAUUUGACCUACAGUAAUUUGUAAUUGUGGAUCUAUUUUUUAGUAAAGUAGUGAAAAUGUAAAAGACAGUAAAAAAAUUUUUAUGAUUUUU